GAGUUUGAUCAUGGCUCAGGACGAACGCUGGCGGCGUGCUUAACACAUGCAAGUCGAACGAAGAGCGAUGGAAGCUUGCUUCUAUCAAUCUUAGUGGCGAACGGGUGAGUAACGCGUAAUCAACCUGCCCUUCAGAGGGGGACAACAGUUGGAAACGACUGCUAAUACCGCAUACGAUCUAAACUCGGCAUCGAGGAUAGAUGAAAGGUGGCCUCUACAUGUAAGCUAUCACUGAAGGAGGGGAUUGCGUCUGAUUAGCUAGUUGGAGGGGUAACGGCCCACCAAGGCGAUGAUCAGUAGCCGGUCUGAGAGGAUGAACGGCCACAUUGGGACUGAGACGCGGCCCAGACUCCUACGGGAGGCAGCAGUGGGGAAUCUUCCGCAAUGGACGAAAGUCUGACGGAGCAACGCCGCGUGAGUGAUGACGGCCUUCGGGUUGUAAAGCUCUGUUAAUCGGGACGAAAGGCCUUCUUGCGAAUAGUGAGAAGGAUUGACGGUACCGGAAUAGAAAGCCACGGCUAACUACGUGCCAGCAGCCGCGGUAAUACGCAGGUGGCAAGCGUUGUCCGGAAUUAUUGGGCGUAAAGCGCGCGCAGGCGGAUAGGUCAGUCUGUCUUAAAAGUUCGGGGCUUAACCCCGUGAUGGGAUGGAAACUGCCAAUCUAGAGUAUCGGAGAGGAAAGUGGAAUUCCUAGUGUAGCGGUGAAAUGCGUAGAUAUUAGGAAGAACACCAGUGGCGAAGGCGACUUUCUGGACGAAAACUGACGCUGAGGCGCGAAAGCCAGGGGAGCGAACGGGAUUAGAUACCCCGGUAGUCCUGGCCGUAAACGAUGGGUACUAGGUGUAGGAGGUAUCGACCCCUUCUGUGCCGGAGUUAACGCAAUAAGUACCCCGCCUGGGGAGUACGACCGCAAGGUUGAAACUCAAAGGAAUUGACGGGGGCCCGCACAAGCGGUGGAGUAUGUGGUUUAAUUCGACGCAACGCGAAGAACCUUACCAGGUCUUGACAUUGAUGGACAGAACCAGAGAUGGUUCCUCUUCUUCGGAAGCCAGAAAACAGGUGGUGCACGGUUGUCGUCAGCUCGUGUCGUGAGAUGUUGGGUUAAGUCCCGCAACGAGCGCAACCCCUAUCUUAUGUUGCCAGCACGUAAAGGUGGGAACUCAUGAGAGACUGCCGCAGACAAUGCGGAGGAAGGCGGGGAUGACGUCAAAUCAUCAUGCCCCUUAUGACCUGGGCUACACACGUACUACAAUGGGAGUUAAUAGACGGAAGCGAGAUCGCGAGAUGGAGCAAACCCGAGAAACACUCUCUCAGUUCGGAUCGUAGACUGCAACUCGCCUACGUGAAGUCGGAAUCGCUAGUAAUCGCAGGUCAGCAUACUGCGGUGAAUACGUUCCCGGGCCUUGUACACACCGCCCGUCA
rnacentral:rRNA from 1 species